GGGCGGCUGGCGGAACUGGUAGACGCGCACGUUUGAGGGGCGUGUGAGGCAACUCAUCCGGGUUCGAGUCCCGGGUCGCCCACCA
rnacentral:tRNA from 3 species